rnacentral:rRNA from 1 species
UACCCCUACGGGAGGCAGCAGUGGGGAAUAUUGCACAAUGGGGGAAACCCUGAUGCAGCGACGCCGCGUGAGGAUGAAGGUUUUCGGAUUGUAAACUCCUUUUGUUAGAGAAGAUAAUGACGGUAUCUAACGAAUAAGCACCGGCUAACUCCGUGCCAGCAGCCGCGGUAAUACGGAGGGUGCAAGCGUUACUCGGAAUCACUGGGCGUAAAGAGCGCGUAGGCGGGAUAGCAAGUCAGAUGUGAAAUCCUAUGGCUUAACCAUAGAACUGCAUUUGAAACUGUUAUUCUAGAUUACGGGAGAGG